GAUCAUGCCCCCAGACACUCUGCUCCAAAAGUUUUUUCCUCUUUCCAGGUUUUUUGUUUCAAACGGAAGUCCCAGUCUUCAUUCUUGAACAGUAAUGAAGAUAUUAUUAAGAGUUCAAGGUUAAGUACAAAUAUGUUUUGUUGUGGUCUUUCUACAGAUAUUUUUAUUUUUUAUUUGUGUUUGAGCUGUGAGAUUGUGUUGCUAAUCAUUCUGACCGGUGAGGAGAUGCUUCUGCGAGGCAGUCUUAUCUCCUGGACUGUACUGCGGACUGUACUGUUUCAUAACUUGACUGUCAAACUUGGCAGUCUGAUUACACUAAGAGUACAAUAUUAUAAUUGCUCAACUGUGUAACUGCAGCCAGAGAAAAUCCUCAGCUGACAAACUUUAUUGAAUGCUGAUUACUUCUGUUAAUGAAAUCUAUGUUGUAUCAAUGAUUCCAACUGUUUAAAUGUAAUAUUGUAUAAGAAUGUUGUGUAUUUUUGGACUAAAUUUUAAGAAAUAUGGAUGAUGUGGUACAAUAAAGGAAAUAAUUAGUUUAAGAAUGUUUGUUAAAACAGCAAUCUUUUGAAGAAUAAAAAUCUACAGUAUUUAUCAUGAGGUGAAUGUUAAAUGAAAAUAGUUACUAGGAUAUUGUUGUAAAUGUAAUGUUUUUGUGCAUUGAAUGAUAAUCAAUGAAUUACCUCGUACUAUAAUGUAGUGAAAAAAUGUGCAAUGAAUGAAUGCGAAAGCAAUUAUAUUGUAAACACAAUUGAAUGAAUUAUUUUUGUAAAAUUGUGUGAGUGAAUAUUGAAUUCAAAAUGUUUUAAGUAAAUUGCAUUUUAAAUCACAACGAGCAGACAGUAAAAUUACUGAUUUUGUAAAGCAGUGGCAGGGUUAGUUUAUUUUGUUAAAGACAUUGGCAUGGUAUAUAAGUAUUUUUUGUUGUGUAACGUGGCAAGAACUGAGUGUUAAUUUGUAAAACAUAGUGGCAAGGCAUGUGAAUGGUUGUAUUCCAAUGGCUGUGAGCAUGAAAUCACCUGGCCUUGUGCUGAAGUCAUCUUCUGUGAACUGAUCAACCAGAUGUAUACCUCUAAUUAAUUGUGUCUUAGCCAAGAUAACUUGGACCUGCGUCACAGAGAGUCAUUGAUGAUCAACUAGGUAGUAGGACACACUUCACAGAUGGGACCUCUUUACAUUAUCUGGCUGGAAUUUAAAGAGCCGAGACUACCAUCAGGAAUAUCUUCCAUGUAAUAACACUAACCCUGAUUGUUGCUACCAUGACUUCCACACAGUAACAUUGAAACGGAACAUUGUUGCUGAGUCUACUGCACAGUAAUGCUGAUUAGGACAUUGCUAUUUUGUGUUUUCACGCAGUAACACUUAUCCAGAUUGUUGCUACUGAGUAGUCCACACAGGAAAAACACACAGUAACGCCGACUUAGGAUGUUGCUAAAAAGUCUUCCAUGCAGUAACAAGAACCCGAAAGUUUGUUUUGUUUUUCUAUCAUCUGGAAAAUUCAGACAGAUGAUAGAAGUAAUACCAGUCAUGUCAAUAAGCAUAAUACACUCUUUAGUAUCUGUUAAUAUUAACACUCCCGAUACUGAAAGCUCGGAUCUGCUAAACAUUGGAAAGAAAGCCAAGAUUAACUAUUUUGCAAUUCACUGUGUGUGACAUAAAGUAACAUUUAGUUCGAAGGUGAUUGUGAAAACUCACUGAAUGUGACAGAUGACAGUGAAAGAAAGACGGUUAUACUCACUAGUAAAACUCAAAUCAUGUUUAAAAGUGACUGUAGGUAUAGUAAAAUUGAGAAUACAUGUUUUCAUUGUUAAAUGUCAAAAAAUAAAGUGUAACUGAUUGUUCCAAUGUAUUUAUAUCAUUUGGUUGAAACAAUUAUCUAAAGACAAAAACUAGACCAACCUUUUGAUUUUUGAGUGGUUAGUAGUUGCAUACAUUUCCCACAAAAGACCAAGGGAUCCCCCUUUUGGAAGUCUGCAAUCUCCCUUGAUUCACACACACAUGUAUGCUGGCAUUCAUACAGUACAAUGUGCUAAACGUACAGAACAAACCUGUUAUGUAUGCAUUUUUACAUUUAUUAUGUCUCCCACAUGUAGUGAGGGUGACAUAUUGAUUAAGUGCUGUCUGUCAUAAAGUUUGUCCACCUAACUCCAACACCAGUGGGGGAUUUACACCAAACUUCCCAGGAGCAAUCAUUUCAAAGCUUAGUUGUGCAUAUUGUUGGUAUUUUCCCGAUUGAUGAUUUUCAGCAGAGUUAUGGUCCUUGAUUCAGCAAAUGUUAUCUUUUGGCCACUUAAAUUAUUGGGUGGAUUUCCACCAAAUCUCACAGGAGUAGUCAGUGCCAAGCAUCAUUGUGCAAAUUUUCCAAUUCGAUGAUUUUCAGCUGGGUUACGGCCCUCAAUUCGCCCAGUCUUAUGUUUCGGCUACUUCCCUUAUAUUUUUGGGUGGAAUGCCACAAAUCCUUGCAGGCAAUAUCAGUACCAAGCCUCAUUGUGCAUACUGUCAGCAUGUUGUGGUUCAGUGAGUUUCAGUGGAAUUAUGGUCCUUGAUUGGUCUAUUUUACCUUGUGCGGGCAACUACUCCAAUACCACAAGGAGGAAUUUCACGAAACUUCACAUGAGUGAUUAUUGCCAAGCCUAGUUGUGCAUAGCGUUAGUACGUUCCAGUCUGGUGUUUUCCAGCUGAGUUGUGGCCCCUGAUUUGUCAAAUUUAAUGAUGUUAUAACCACCUAUCCUAAAUAA